rnacentral:rRNA from 1 species
AGAGCGAACGCUGGCGGCAGGCCUAACACAUGCAAGUCGAGCGCCCGUAGCAAUACGGGAGCGGCAGACGGGAUAGUAACACGUGGGAACGCGCCCUUCGGUUCGGAAUAACUCAGGGAAACUUGAGCUAAUACCGAAUACGCCCUUACGGGGAAAGAUUUAUUGCCGAAGGAACGGCCCGCGUCCGAUUAGCUAGUUGGUGAGGUAAUGGCUCACCAAGGCUACGAUCGGUAGCUGGUCUGAGAGGAUGACCAGCAUCACUGGGACUGAGACACGGCCCAGACUCCUACGGGAGGCAGCAGUGGGGAAUAUUGGACAAUGGGCGCAAGCCUGAUCCAGCCAUGCCGCGUGGAUGAUGAAGGUCUUCGGAUUGUAAAGCUCUUUCGACGGGGACGAUGAUGACGGUACCCGUAGAAGAAGCCCGGCUAACUUCGUGCCAGCAGCCGC